rnacentral:rRNA from 1 species
GAUGAACGCUAGCUGGAGGCUUAAUACAUGCAAGUCGAGCGGGAUUGGGUAGCAAUACCCAUGAGAGCGGCGCACGGGUGAGUAACGCGUACACGACCUACCUCUAACAGGGGGAUAGCCCUGGGAAACUGGGAUUAAUACCGCAUAUAAUUCUGAAUAAUAAAGGUUUGGAAUGAAAGCUGAGGCGGUUAGAGAUGGGUGUGCGUCUGUUUAGCUAGUUGGUAGGGUAACGGCCUACCAAGGCGAUGAUCAGUAGGGGCCGUGAGAGCGUGGCCCCCCACACGGGUACUGAAACACGGACCCGACUCCUACGGGAGGAAGCAGUAAGGAAUAUUGGUUAAUGGGCGAAAGCCUGAACCAGCCAUCCAGCGUGCAGGAAGAAGCCCCUAUGGGUUGUAAACUGCUUUUAUCAGGGAAGAAACCUCUGGAUUUACUCCGGAGCUGACGGUACCUGAAAAAUAAGCACCGGCUAACUCCGUGCCAGCAGCCGCGGUAAGAC